rnacentral:rRNA from 1 species
UGCCGCUUGCGAGGGCGUAUGGUGGAUGCCUUGGCAGACAGUACCGAUGAAGGACGUUUGAGGAUGCGAUAAUCCUAGGGGAGCCUCCAACAUGGCUUUGAUCCUAGGGUCUCCGAAUGGGGGAACCCGCCGGCCGUCAUGGGCCGGCACCGCCUAUGGGCGGGGGGUACGCAGGGAAGUGAAACAUCUCAGUACCUGCAGGAAGGGAUACUCCGUGAGUAGUGGCGAGCGAAAGCGGAUCAGACCAAACCGGUUGCGCGUGAUACCCGUCGGGGGUUGCGUUGCCGGUGUUGUGGGAUCACGUGUCCCGGUUCCGACGGGCCGGGCGGGAGUCAUAAAACGGCUUGCCAGGGGAACAGGCUUGAAGGCCUGGCCGUAGAGGGUGCCAGCCCCGUACCUGGACGUGAGCCGUCUUCCGAUCGUGUUGUCCCAAGUAGCGCGGGCCUCGUGGAAUCCCGCGUGAAUCAGCCCAGACCGUUGGGUAAGUCUAAGCAUACCUGUCUGACCGAUAGCGUACCAGUACCGUGAGGGAAAGGUGAAAAGCACCCCGGGAGGGGAGUGAAACAGUUCCUGAAACCGUGCGCCCACAAACCGUCGGAGCCUCCGCGUGGGGUGACGGCGUGCCUAUCGAAAAAUGAGUCUGCGAGUCAGUGGCGGGUGGCGAGCAUAAGCCGUGUGGCGUAUGCGUAGCGAAAGCGAGUCUUAAAAGGCGUUUUUAGUCGCUUGUCCUGGACCCGAAGCGGGAUGAUCUAGCCCUGGGCAGGUUGAAGCGCGGGUAAGACCGCGUGGAGGACCGAACCCACCUGGGUUGAAAACCGGGGGGAUGACCUGGGGCUAGGGGUGAAAGGCCAAUCAAAUUCCGUGAUAGCUGGUUCUCUCCGAAAUGCAUUUAGGUGCAGCGUCGGUCGAUUGCGUCGCGGGGGUAGAGCUACCGGAUGCUUGCGGGCCCUUGUUGGGUACCAACAGCAGCCGAACUCCGAAUACCGUUGACGUGUAUUCCGGCAGUGAGUCGGCGGGGGAUAAGCUCCGUCGUCGAGAGGGAGACAGCCCAGACCGUCGUCUAAGGUCCCGAAGCGUGUGCUAAGUGGGAAAGGAUGUGGAGUCGCAUAGACAGCCAGGAGGUUGGCUCAGAAGCAGCCAUCCUUGAAAGAGUGCGUAACAGCUCACUGGUCUAGUGGUUCCGCGCCGACAAUGUAGCGGGGCUCAAGCACACCACCGAAGACGCGGCAGCAAUCUUCAUGGUUGCUGGGUAGGAGAGCGUCCUGCAUGGGGCGAAGCGGCCGGGUAACCGUGCCGUGGACCGUGUGGGAGUGAGAAUGCAGACAUGAGUAGCGAGAGACGGGUGAGGAUCCCGUCCGCUGGAUGACCAAGGGUUCCGGGGCCACGUUCGUCGUCCCCGGGUGAGUCGGGUCCUAAGGCGAGGCCGACAGGCGUAGUCGAAUGGAUGAACGGGUGGAUAUUCCCGUACCGACCAUGGACCGGCAAAACCGAGACGGUGAGUACUAACCUCCGCCUCGUGGUGGUUCCUUCCUUCGGGUUGGUUCCGCCGCGUGGUGUUGGGAGCGUAGCCGUAGUAGGUCAGCGCAGGGGUGACACGGAAUGGGAGCCGGCCGCGGAGGUGGUUUUCCGUGGUCAAGCACGCAGCCAGUCAUGUAGGCAAAUCCGCAUGGCGCGCAUGGCGAGGUGUGAUGAUGGGAGCCGUUAUGGUUCGAUAUCCGGUUGUCCAGGCCGUCGAGAAAAGCCUCGGCGUGAGGGCCAUGGCCGCCCGUACCCCAAACCGACACUGGUGGUCAGGUAGAGAAUACCAAGGCGAUCGAGCGAAUCCUGGUCAAGGAACUCGGCAAAUCACUCCCGUGCCUUCGGUAUAAGGGAGACCCACUGGGGUGAAGGACCUUGCGUCCGGAGCUUUGGUGGGUGGCACAGACCAGGGGGUAGCGACUGUUUACCAAAAACACAGGUGCAUGCGAAGGCGAAAGCCGCUGUAUAUGCACUGACGCCUGCCCGGUGCCGGAAGGUUAAGAGGAUCCGUCAAUCCUUCGGGAUGAAGCGGUGAAUUCAAGCCCCGGUAAACGGCGGUGGUAACUAUAACCAUCCUAAGGUAGCGAAAUUCCUUGUCGGGUAAGUUCCGACCUGCACGAAUGGCGUA